CUGUCAAAAGACAUGUUUUUCAAAGAUAUGUGUAUUAUUUAUGUUUGUUUAAACAGUCUAAUCAAUUUGAGUUCAUUUAUUGUUUAAAGUAGAGAAUGUGCUCCCUUAGAAUGUUUAAUGUCAUGGGUUCUUUAAGAAAGAGUUAAUAUCAAAGCGUAACAGGUCAUAUGACCAGGUUGAGUUGAACGCGGGACCGCUGCAUUAUGGGUUGAAGAAACAUGGAUGCAGAGUAAUGUUAAUGGUAUACAGAGCCUGGAAAGGAGUAACCUUUAUCUGCAUGGUCUAAGAGGGCGCACACGUUUUCACGGUGUCUGCUGGAAAGAGACAGAGACAUAGAGACAAAUAAACAGCAAAAAGGACAUCUGUAUGAAGCGUGGCUCAUUUCAUUAGACCAGUGCAGUUACAGUGAAAACGUAACGCCAGCAAAGCCGACAGCGCCAAAUGUGGAACGGUACCCGUCGGAUCUGAAGAGAAAGCAACAUCGCGGCCGCUGGAGCAUCGCGUACAGACAAGAAGUCGGAGAAAAGGAAGAAUCACGAUCGCGGAACCAUCGCGCGGUCUGAGAUUGCAUCAGAGAGGAGACUUCCCCUUUCACAGUUGUCACAGCCAAGGAAAGUACCGCGACGCGAGCAGUAGAGGGCGACAUUCAUCCUUCUAGAUUACAGCCUUACAAGUAUCCUUCCUACAGGCUUCAGAGUACUGUGUUUAUUUCAUCGUUGUUUGAAGCAGAAGAGUUCUGCUGUGCAGUUAACUGCAGGUUUGACUGUGCUACUUCUACAUCUAUAUGGACAUUAAAAAAAAAAAAAAAAGGUAAAGUGUUAUAAAUAUAUUGCUUUAAUUGAUUUAUGCUUCAGCAUUGACAUUGUUGUGAAUGGUGAGUAAUUUGAUCUGAGAGUAAUAGUUAAGUAACCGUGUACUAAAGUGUUUUUGGAAAACAUUUACAAUGUCAGUCUAUGGAGAAAAAUCACAAUGUGGUGAAUCAAGUGAGCAAAUAGAGACCAUUCAAGCAGAGUUGAUUAGGUUAAAUGAACAAUUGAAAUCUCAAAGUAAUGAUGUUGAAAGGGAAAGAUUAGAGUCACUCAUUGGUGAUGUUCACUCCAAAAUACAGUCACUUCAAACAGCAAUGACAGAACCUAUUCCUUCCACUUCAAGAACAGAUGAACCCAGGAAAUCCUCACGAGAAAGAAAGUUAACUCCAAAAAUGCAGGAGCUUAAGCAGCAAGAAGUUUCUCAAAAGGAGAGUAAAUUCAUCAAGUUGUAUGAAAGCUGGAAAGACCAAGUUAAAGCUACACGUACCAAACUGAAGGGUGAGUGCUCGGACCAAGACUUAAGUGACCUGAUGGACAGUGUAGAGGGAAUGGAAAGUCAAGUGAAAAAUGUAUAUGAACUUAUAAGAUCUCAAUCAGUUCCUUCUACUGAGAUUAGAAGAAAAAUGGAUUCCUGUACAGCAGUGACUGCAGAUUUGAUGGGGCUAAUGAAAGUUCGUAUGAGUGAAGUGGGGCAAGAGGAAUUUGAUGCUAAUGCAGAAGAUGCAAGAAUUCAUAUGGUGCUUGACAAGGAGUAUGCUCAGUCGAUAUUUACGACUACAAGCUCUAAGUCUAUUCGUAGUCACCGUUCAAGCUCCUCAAUAGAUCAGCAAAGUAUCACUGCAAAAAGAGCAGAGUGUGCCGCACAGUUGGCUGCAAAGCAGGCAGAGAUAAAAAUGGAAGAGGCUAUUGCUACUCAAAGGCUAGAACUUAAAAGACUGGAGAAUCAGAGAGAUCUUCAGGUAAUAGCUGCAAAGCUCAAGGUAUACUCUGAAGCUGACUCAGGUGAGUCAUGUAAUGAUAGUAUAGCAGCAAGCAGUGAUUUAGCCAGUUGUCCUGUAAUGUCUUCUAAGGAAAUUAAAAAGGAACAGGCAUGCAAGAAUGAUAACCAGGAACAAAAAGACCAUAGUAAUGGUGAUGCAUCAAUAGUACAAGCCUUACAUGACACAAUGGUUCUCAGUAGACUUCCUGCACCUGAGCCCUCAGUUUUCAUAGGAGACCCACUUAAGUUCUUAGAGUGGAGAACAAGUUUCAAGGCAUUAAUAGAGCGGCGAUGCACAAAUCCAGCUGAUAAGUUGUUCUACCUACAAAAAUAUGUCAGUGGUGAGGCCCAGUCUGUAUUGGAAGGAAGCUUCUACAGAAAGGAUGAUGAAGCCUAUGAACAAGCAUGGGAAGCACUGAAUUCUCGGUAUGGCCAUCCAUUUGUAAUCCAGCGUGCAUUUAGAGAAAAACUGAAUGACUGGCCUAAGAUAAGCUCGAGAGAGUCAGUUAAAUUGAGACAAUUUAGUGAUUUUCUGACAGCCUGUAGCAAUGCCAUGCCACACAUUAAAGGGCUUCAGGUGUUAAAUGACUGUGAGGAGAAUCAGAAAAUGCUACAAAAACUCCCUGACUGGCUGACAUCUCGUUGGAAUCGGCAUGUAACAAUGCAGCUGAAACAAUUGGAGGAAUACCCUACUUUCAAGGAGUUUGCUGAUUUCGUGGCACAAGAAGCAGAAAUAGCAUGCAAUCCAGUAACAUCCUUUCAUGCCCUCAAGCUCACUCAAGAGAAGCCAUCUAGAGAGGUUAAGCGCUCAAAGGCAAAUGCAUUCAUCACUAAUGUGAAAGCGUCAGAUAAAUCAAGAAUAGUGUCAAAGACAUACAGUGUUGGAGUAAGCAAUUCAGUGGAUUCAAACCGAUCCGACAAAGUCAUCACUGUGCCUUCAGUUUCAAACUCAGUCACUUGCAGGUAUUGUGGGGAAAACCACUCCAUCCACAAAUGCCAAACGUUUGCCAGUAAGUCUGUGGAGGACAAAAGGAAGUUCAUAUUAGACAAUAACCUUUGCUUUGGCUGUCUUAGGAAAGGACACAACUCCAAGGAUUGCAAGAGUAAAGCUACUUGUAGUGUAUGCAAGAAACAUCAUCCAACACCACUUCAUGAAGACCGCCCUUCUUCUACAGCAGUCACAUUUUCUCAUGCAAUGCAAGCAGAACAAAACACAUCUUCACUUUCCUGUUGUGUAGACAGUGGCGAUGGUGGGAGUACAUCAAUGAUAGUGCCUGUAUGGAUUUCUUCAACUUCCACACCUGAAAGGGAGAUCUUGGUUUAUGCCCUUCUGGAUACACAGAGCAGCAACACCUUCGUGGAUCAAGAGGUAUGUGAGAGGAUGGGGGCAAUUUCAGAGCCAGUCAAGUUAAAGCUUACAACAAUGAUGGGAAAAGAUUCCAUUGUUCAGAGUGAAAGAGUUAGUGGGCUCAGAGUUAGAGGCUUUACUUCUUAUGGCUUAAUCAGUUUGCCACCUGCCUAUACUAGAGACUUCAUUCCACUUGAACGCUCCCACAUUCCUACUCCUGAAACUGCUAGAAGAUGGAAUCAUCUGAAAGAAAUUGCUCAGGAAAUUCCAAUGCUGCUGGAUUGUGAAGUCGGACUUCUGAUAGGUUACGAUUGCUCAAGAGCUUUGGCACCACGGCAAGUCAUCACAGGAGGUGAUGACGAACCAUAUGCCAUCAGGACAGACUUGGGUUGGAGCAUAGUUGGCUCCUCACCUAAGAUUGCAAAAUCAACUGAAGUUACAGGCCUGUGCCAUCGUGUAUCUGUUAAGGAACUCCCAAAUCUGACACCUACCUCAAUUAUCAGAGCCCUUGAAUCAGACUUUGGAGAUACAAAUCCAAGGGAAAGGAGCAUAUCACAAGAUGAUAUACAGUUCAUGCAACUUAUGAAUGAGAAAAUUCACAAGAACUCAGAGGGACACCUUGAGAUGCCCCUCCCCUUUAAGACACGCCCACAGUUACCUGAAAAUAAACAGCUGGCUCUGGUGCGAUUGAAGCGCCUGAAAGGAAAAUUUGAGAAAGACCCAAAAUUCAAGGAUGAUUAUGUAAAGUUUAUGGAAGGUGUCUUCAAGGAUGGCGAUGCGGAGAGAGUUGAACUCCAACCUAAAAAAGGAAAUGUCUGGUACAUUCCUCACCAGGGAGUAUAUCACCCUAAAAAGCCAGAGAAGAUUAGAGUUGUGUUUGAUUGCUCUGCCAAAUAUGAUGGCACCGCAUUAAAUGAUCACUUGUUAACUGGGCCUGAUCUCACUAACGGGCUAACAGGGGUACUUUGCAGGUUUCGCAAAUAUCCAAUAACAAUUAUCUGUGAUGUAGAAAGAAUGUUCCAUAGGUUCCAUGUAAGCCAGGAAGACAGAGAUUACUUACGGUUCCUGUGGUGGAAAAAUGGCGAUACAAACACUGAGCCAAAGGAGUAUCGCAUGAAAGUCCAUCUUUUUGGAGCAGCAUCCUCUCCUGGCUGCGCAAAUUAUGGAAUGAAGUAUCUUGCAUGUCAAAACGAAAGAGAGCAUCCUGCAGCAGCCAGUUUCAUCAAAAGUAAUUUCUACGUUGAUGAUGGGCUCAUUAGUGUGGAAAAUGUGGACACAGCUAUCAAACUAGUACAAGAAGCCCGAAUUGUGUGUGCAAAAGGGAAAUUGCGUCUACAUAAGUUCAUCUCAAAUGACAAAAAGGUCAUGGAGUCUAUACCUGUUAGUGAGCAAGCCAGCGGUGUUCAAGAUGUGGAGCUUGGCUCUGAUGAACUUCCAGUCCAGACGGUGUUGGGAGUUAAAUGGAGUGUAAAUAGUGACACCUUUUCCUUUAAAGUAGCCCUGGAUGAGAAACCAGCAACGCGGCGAGGAGUCCUCUCAACAGUCGCAUCUGUGUUUGAUCCAUUAGGCUUCCUGGCUCCCUUUCUCCUAUUAGGAAAGAAAGUAUUACAGGAGAUGUGUCAGAGGGGCAUUGAAUGGGAUGAUUCACUCCCCAAAGAGUUAAUGCCACAAUGGACUAGCUGGCUAAAUGAAUUGAAGGAUCUGCACAAUCUCCAGAUUGCAAGAUGCUUUGUUCCUGACUAUUUAGGGACUGUCCAGAGGAUCGAACUCCAUCACUUUUCAGAUGCGAGUAGCUAUGGCUAUGGUCAAUGCUCAUAUAUUCGAGUGUUGAGUGAAGACAAAGUGCACUGCUCCUUUGUCAUUGGCAAGGCAAGGGUUGCACCCACAAAAGUUGUGACCAUACCCAGGCUUGAGUUAACUGCUGCGGUGAUUUCUUCAGCAGUCAGUAGAAUGUUAAAGGAGGAGUUGGAGCUCAAAAUUGAUCAAGAAUAUUUUUGGACCGACUCAAAAGUAGUCUUAGGCUACAUUAACAAUGAAGCCCGUAGGUUUCAUGUUUUCGUAGCGAAUCGAGUCCAAAGAAUUAGAGAAACGACUGACCCUGAACAGUGGCAUUAUAUAGACUCUGAACAAAAUCCUGCAGAUCACGCUUCCAGGGGCCUCAAGGUGUCGGAGUUGAUAAAUUCGAAUUGGCUCACUGGACCUAAGUUUCUCUGGGAAAGAGAAAUUAUCACAUCAGAGACCACUCCAGAGCUUCUGAUUGGUGAUCCUGAAAUCAGGGCAACGCAAGUGCUACAAACAAAGGUAGCAAGUGAUGAAGAUUUUUUGGAGCGGUUCAAUAGGUUUUCGAAAUGGCACACUGCAUUGAAAGUUGUUGCUCGAAUUCAGCAGUUAGCGAGACACAAGGCAGGUAAACCCAUAAAUGUUGAAGAAAUGAGAAAUGCCAGCAUCAGGCUUGUAAAAUUGGCACAAAGGGAUGCCUUCAAAGAUGAGAUACAAAAAUUGAAACAAGGCAAAUUGCCAAAUAGUCACCCUUUGUUCCAACUUGACCCAGUACUGCAAGAUGGUGUUCUCAGGGUGGGAGGGCGAUUGAAGAAAGCUUUCCUACCUCUAGACACGAAGCACCCAGCAGUCCUUCCAAGAGAUGGUGUGGUCACCCGUCUCAUCGUGGAUUACUGCCAUGAAAAGACUCAACACCAAGGCAGAGGACAGACCCUUAAUGAACUGAGAGGAAAUGGUUACUGGGUUGUUGGUGGCAGCAAAGUUGUGGCUAACCUCAUUAAGCAAUGUGUUAUAUGCAGGAGAGCUCGCAGGCCAACAGAGACACAGAUGAUGGCGGAUCUACCUGCUAACCGUGUUGACUCCUCUCCACCAUUCUCUUACUGUGGGAUGGAUUGCUUUGGGCCGUUUCUAUGUAAGCAAGGACGGAAAGAACAAAAAAGAUAUGGUCUCAUAUUCACCUGCUUCUCCUCAAGAGCAAUCCAUAUAGAGAUGCUAGAAGAUCUAACCACUGAUGCCUUCAUAAACGCCUUGCGAUGUUUUAUUGCAAUCCGUGGAGCUGUAAGAGAAAUCAGAUCGGAUCAAGGGACAAACUUUGUUGGGGCAAAAAACGAGCUGACAAAGGCUUUGGAAGAAUUGGACAAGGAGAGAUUAACUGCUUACCUAUCCCAAAAGCAAUGUGAUUUCAUUUUGAACGUGCCUGAUGCCAGUCACAUGGGAGGGGUUUGGGAAAGGCAGAUCAGAACCAUUAGAAGUGUUCUAAGUUGGGUCCUUUCACAGAGUGCAGGAAGACUGGAUGAUGCCUCAUUGAGAACUUUCUUCUAUGAAGCCAUGUCAAUCAUAAAUAAUCGCCCACUCACCUCAAAUAACAUUAACGAUCCCAAAGGGCUAGAGCCACUUACCCCAAACCAUUUACUCACCAUGAAAUCUUCUGUCCCUCUGCCUCCACCUGGGAAAUUUGUGCCAGAGGACCUGUAUGCGAGGAAGAGGUGGCGCAGAGUACAAUAUCUGACACAGCAAUUUUGGAGUAGAUGGAGGAAGGAAUAUCUGGCAAACAUCAUCCUUAGACAACGGUGGCACUCUCCAAGACGAAAUGUAAAGAUUGGAGAUAUUGUCAUUGUCAAGGAGGAACAGCUUCCCCGCAAUGAAUGGAGACUUGGACUAGUGCUUGAUGCUUGUGCAGAUGAAGACGGAUUGGUGCGAAAAGCCAAAAUUCAAAUAGGAAAUAGGAAGUUAGGGAAAAAGGGUCAACGACUGACUAAUCCAUCAAUUCUUGAGCGUCCUAUUCAUAAAUUAGUAGUACUUGUAGAGAACAAUUAAAUCUGAUUUAUUGUCUGAUCUUGAGACUUUUAAGUGUCACAAGUUCAUCUGGUAGUCUUGAACCAAGAGUCAGAGAUAUGUGAUUCUAAUAUCUGGUUUGUGAAAUUACUAAUUUUUCAAACAUUUACGUAAAGUUAAUCACAAAUUGUAGUAAUUUGGUGGGAGUGUAACUGUCAAAAGACAUGUUUUUCAAAGAUAUGUGUAUUAUUUAUGUUUGUUUAAACAGUCUAAUCAAUUUGAGUUCAUUUAUUGUUUAAAGUAGAGAAUGUGCUCCCUUAGAAUGUUUAAUGUCAUGGGUUCUUUAAGAAAGAGUUAAUAUCAAAGCGUAACAGGUCAUAUGACCAGGUUGAGUUGAACGCGGGACCGCUGCAUUAUGGGUUGAAGAAACAUGGAUGCAGAGUAAUGUUAAUGGUAUACAGAGCCUGGAAAGGAGUAACCUUUAUCUGCAUGGUCUAAGAGGGCGCACACGUUUUCACGGUGUCUGCUGGAAAGAGACAGAGACAUAGAGACAAAUAAACAGCAAAAAGGACAUCUGUAUGAAGCGUGGCUCAUUUCAUUAGACCAGUGCAGUUACAAUGUGAAUGCUGGACAUUAAUGAGAAAUAUUUGACAUGAUAAAAUGCAAUAAACAGGAAGUUCCAGCAAAAGGGUUUGAAAACCUAAGAUCUUAUUUUAUACUUUGACUUUUAAUCCAGCAAGUGAUAGUGUAAAAAAUAAUGUUUCUUGUUUUUUUAAUUUUUCUGAACCAGUUUGACCUUUGUUCUUUGCUUUGUUUGUUUACUGUUUGAGACACAUUUCUAUAAUU